UACGGAGGAUCCGAGCGUUAUCCGGAUUUAUUGGGUUUAAAGGGUGCUCAGGCGGGCCAUUAAGUCGGCGGUGAAAUUUUGCGGCUCAACCGUAAAAGUGCCUUCGAUACUGGUGGUCUUGAGUGUAGAUGAAGUAGGCGGAAUUUGUGGUGUAGCGGUGAAAUGCAUAGAUAUCACGAGGAACUCCGAUUGCGAAGGCAGCUUACUAAGCUACUACUGACGCUCAGGCACGAAGGCGUGGGGAUCAAACAGGAUUAGAUACCCGUGUAGU
rnacentral:rRNA from 1 species